UCAGCGGCAGACGGGUGAGUAACACGUAGGUGACCUACCCUCGAGACGGGGAUAACGGCUGGAAACAGUCGCUAAUACCCGAUAGACUUACCAGGUCAAAGCGGUAAGAAAAGCUACGGUGCUUGAGGAGGGGCCUGCGGCCCAUCAGCUAGUUGGUAGGGUAACGGCCUACCAAGGCGAAGACGGGUAGGGGGUGUGAGAGCACGAGCCCCCACAAUGGGACUGCGACACGGCCCAUACUCCUACGGGAGGCAGCAGCAGGGAAUAUUGCACAAUGGACGGAAGUCUGAUGCAGCGACGCCGCGUGAGUGAAGACGGCCUUCGGGUUGUAAAGCUCUUUUACGGGGGACGAGGAAGGACGGUACCCUGGGAAGAAGUGUCGGCUAACUACGUGCCAGCAGCCGCGGUAAGACGUAGGACACAAGCGUUAUCCGGAGUUACUGGGCGUAAAGCGCCUGCAGGCGGCCUGGUAAGUUGGACGUGAAAGCCCCGUGCUUAACGCGGGGAGGUCGGACAAUACUGCCAAGCUAGAGUGCGUCAGAGGGGAGUGGAAUUUCCGGAGUAGCGGUAAAAUGCGCAGAUAUCGGAAGGAACACCAGUGGCGAAAGCGACUCCCUGGGGCGCGACUGACGCCAAGAGGCGAAAGCUAGGGGAGCGAACAGGAUUAGAGACCCUGGUAGUCCUAGCCCUAAACGAUGGAUGCUAGGUGUGGGACGUACAGUUCCGUGCCGGAGCCAACGCGAUAAGCAUCCCGCCUGGGGACUACGGUCGCAAGGCUAAAACUCAAACGAAUUGACGGGGACCCCGCACAAGCAGCGGAGCGUGUGGUUCAAUUCGAUGCUACACGAAGAACCUUACCUGGGUUUGACAUGUACGUGGUAGAGAAGCGAAAGCGGAUUGACCAUUCGGGGAGCGUACACAGGUGCUGCAUGGCUGUCGUCAGCUCGUUCCGUGAGGUGUCGGGUUAAGUCCCGUAACGAGCGCAACCCUUAUCAUUAGUUGCACGUAUCUAGGGAGACUGCCGGCGGGAAGCCGGAGGAAGGUGGGGAUGACGUCAAGUCAGCAUGGCCCUUAUGUCCAGGGCUACACACACGCUACAAUGGCCGGUACAAAGGGCAGCAAAGUCGCGAGGCGGAGCGAAUCCCAACAAGGCCGGUCGUAGUUCGGAUUGCAGGCUGCAACUCGCCUGCAUGAAGCUGGAGUUGCUAGUAACCGCGCGUCAGCUAUAGUGCGGUGAAUACGUACCCGGGUCUUGUACACACCGCCCGUCACGUCAUGGAAGUCAGGUAACGCAUGAAGGCGGUAGCAUAGCUCGGAAGAGGGGGCGC
rnacentral:rRNA from 1 species